rnacentral:lncRNA from 1 species
UAAAUUCCACUUGAAAUACACAAAAGGAAUUACACUGUAAAUACUGCUUAAAUAACAGUAAAAAUUCCACUGAGAAAGUACUAAAAUUACACUAACAAAAUACACUAAUGAAUUACAAAGGAAAGUCCACUUAAAAAUGCACUGUAAUCCAAUGAGAAUUACAGUGUAAAAUAACCUAAAAGUACACCAAAAUUGAACUAAGAUUUACAGUGUAAAUCAUAUCGAAGUUGCAACAUCGACAAAGAACUACACUAUAAACCAGCCGGAAUUACACUGUAAACCCAGAUAUGAAUUACAGUGUAAAUCCAGAUAGAAAUUACAGUGCAAAUCCACUUAUAAAAAACACUGUAAACCACUAAUAAAUACACUGUAAUUUCAACAGUUUUACAGUGUAAAAUCCACUCAAAAAAGUUAACUGCAUUGACAAAAUGCACAGGAGCAACCACAUAUACGUGGACGAACAUGGAGAAGCACCACCAGAGAGGGUGAUUCCUCCAAGAUCUGCUACACAAACUUCAACAACAUGGCUAGAGAAGCAGGAAAAACAUAGGUAAACACCCCUUCUCGCCCCCUCCUAUGCGUUCAUCACUUCCUAUCGUCUCCCUCCUGCCUGAAGAAAUCUGGAAGAAAGAACAGAUGGAAAAAGAACAUAAGCACACUAAGAAAGAACCAGCACAAAUCCUAGGAACAACUAGAACAUGGUCGCAUGUACUACUAGUCUAUGAUCACAAGAACACUAUAUACUCAAAACUAGAUGCCCAGAUCAUUGGUUUCUAGAUUUGCAGAAUAGGAACACACUACAGGGGACAAAAACACACUCAAAGAUCACUAGGCUAGCAAUUCCAUUUAGGGGACAAAUACAAGGGACAAAAACACACUACUAGGCUAGCAAUUCCAUUUAGGUAAAACUAGUUGAAAAUAUGCAAGGUUGAGGAUUACUACAGUUGAGCGAAUAUGUGACUAUUUCCACAAACUUUGGAAACUAAAAAACUAAAACACUAUUAAGAAACUUUGAUCUACUAGUUUAGACACUUCCUGUUGAAUGACCGAAUAUAAGUAACUUUGGAAGUGUAAACUGCUAUGAACUGAUACCUGUUUACACUGAAUAUUGAUUAGCAUUAUCAUAAACACUGAAAAUAGAAGUUAUCAGAAAAAAUGAGUAACACAAUCAGGCUAAAAACACUAAAGAUUACAGUGUAAAACCCACAAAGAAUUAUAGUGUAACUCUACUAAGAAUUACACUGUAAUCCAAUAAAGAUUAUAGUGUAAAUACACCAAAAUUGUCAAUCUCUUUGCUACAAGAAUAGCUUAACCAAAAGGAAGACAAAGUACAAACCAUGUUACAGCAGUACGGAUUGAACCAAGUUCACCUAAAAAAGGGUCCGUGAAAAUUACAUCAAAGCCAAGCUCCCCUAACCUCCUUUACAACCCACACAGGCAAAACAGCGAGAAAGGAGAAAAAGAACCCAACAUUACAAGGCAAAAAAUUCCCAUCUCUAAUCUAAAACUAACCACACACAAUUAAAAAGGAAAUGACAAAAACCACUAAAAUUACACUAUAAAACCAACUAAAAUUACAUUAAGAUUUACACUAUAAAUACCGCUGUAAAUCCAGUUUGAAUCCACUGUAAAAUCUACUACACUAAGAAAAACACUGAAAAUCCGGUAGGAAUUACAGUGUAGAUCCAAUAGGAAUUACACUGUAAUUCUACCUAGAUUUACACUGAAAUCGACCUAGAAUUACAUUGUAAAAUAUAGUAGGAAUUACAGUGUAAAUGUACCUAGAAUUACACUGUAAAAUCGACCUACAAUUAUAGUGUAAAGAUAGUAGGAAUUACAGUGUAAAUGUACCUAGAAUUACACUGUAAAAUCGACCUACAAUUAUAGUAUAAAUAUAGUAGAAAUUACACUGUAAUUUUACCUAGAAUUACACCGUGAAAUCGACCUAUAAUUACAGUGUAAAUAUAGUAGGAAUUACAGUGUAAAUGUACCUACAAUUACACUGUAAUUCUACCUAAAUUUACACUGUAAAAAUCAAGACUGACAGCGAAUGCGUAGUGACAACCGCCAAAUGUCAUUGAUCUCAUAGAAGCAACCUUCAUAGAAUCCUUAAACUUCUUAAUAUUGCCAAGGAGACUCUC